rnacentral:antisense_RNA from 22 species
AUUAUUCAACAAUGAAAAUUUGCAAAAAAAAAUAACCCUUCUUUUCUUGACUUUUUAAAUCUAUCAUAAACAAUUAAAAUUGUCAAUAACCAAAUGGAGCCCACGACCGGGCUCGAACCGGCGACCUCCGCCU